AAGACCUCACGUUAUUGGAGUGGCCUACGGCUGAUUAGCUAGUUGGUGAGGUAAAGGCUCACCAAGGCGACGAUCAGUAGCUGGUCUGAGAGGAUGAUCAGCCACACUGGAACUGAGACACGGUCCAGACUCCUACGGGAGGCAGCAGUGGGGAAUUUUGGACAAUGGGGGCAACCCUGAUCCAGCCAUUCCGCGUGAGUGAAGAAGGCCUUCGGGUUGUAAAGCUCUUUCAGCAGGGAAGAAACGGUUACGGCUAAUACCUGUGACUAAUGACGGUACCUGCAGAAGAAGCACCGGCUAACUACGUGCCAGCAGCCGCGGUAAUACGUAGGGUGCGAGCGUUAAUCGGAAUUACUGGGCGUAAAGCGUGCGCAGGCGGUUUUGUAAGUCAGAUGUGAAAGCCCCGGGCUCAACCUGGGAAUU
rnacentral:rRNA from 1 species